rnacentral:rRNA from 1 species
GUGAGGAAUAUUGGUCAAUGGAGGCAACUCUGAACCAGCCAUGCCGCGUGCAGGAUGAAGCAUCUAUGGUGUGUAAACUGCUUUUGUACGGGAAGAAAAAAAGCUACGUGUAGCUUACUGACGGUACCGUAAGAAUAAGGAUCGGCUAACUCCGUGCCAGCAGCCGCGGUAAUACGGAGGAUCCAAGCGUUAUCCGGAAUCAUUGGGUUUAAAGGGUCCGUAGGCGGCCUUAUAAGUCAGCGGUGAAAGUUUUUGGCUUAACCAAAAAAUUGCCAUUGAUACUGUAGGGCUUGAAUUAUUGUGAAGUAACUAGAAUAUGUAGUGUAGCGGUGAAAUGCUUAGAUAUUACAUGGAAUACCAAUUGCGAAGGCAGGUUACUAACAAUAUAUUGACGCUGAUGGACGAAAGCGUGGGUAGCGAACAGGAUUAGAAACCCUAGUAGUCC